UGCGCUGAAAGUGGUUCUGUUUCUCUGCCAAAAAUAAAUACAUUUACAAAAAAAAAGUGAAACUUCUAGUUUGACUGAAACAGCCAUGUGAUCAUCAAGUUGCAUAACGGAAAAGCACACCUAAAGCUAUUCGCCAGGUAACAGUCAAACCAAUUUUGAAGUGUUUCACACUUACUUGGAACGCAAAUGUCUUCAUAGAGAUAUCAAUUUUGUCCCUAUUUGCAAAUCACUGGAAUAUAGUUUCUGGAUUUUUUACUAAAGUGAGAAUUGUUAGGAAUUCAAAGUUUCAAGUGAAUAUCAUAUUAAGAAGGGGAAAAAAAGGUAAAAAUAGCCUAACUUAAAAAAUUACCCAAGUCAACUAUUCCUCCAGUUCAGCUACUUUGGCCUUAAAGGGACACUUUAGGAUCCUAGACCACUUCAUCUCACUGAAGUGGUCUGGGUGCAGUGUCCCUGUUUCCUUAACCCCACAAUCUAAAACAAGCAUGUCAAACUCAAAGUCUAGCAUGGGCCAAAUAAACAAGGUUUAAGUUUAUGUGGGCCACAAAAAAAAAAAAAAACACCUACAUUUUCAUAGAAAC